GGCAGUGGGGGCUCAGUGGUUAAAACUUUUGGUUACUGAUCGGAAGGUCAUGAGGUCAAACCCCAGCACUACCA